rnacentral:rRNA from 1 species
AACGAACGCUGGCGGCAUGCCUAACACAUGCAAGUCGAACGAGACCUCCGGCUUUAGUUUCGCGCGGGUGCGUAACGGGGGGGAAACUGCCCUGAUGUUCGGAAUAACGCCCCGAAAGGGGUGCUAAUACCGGAUAAUAUCCUCGGUCCAAAGAGUGAUCGCCUUUGGUGGGGCCGGCGUUGGAUUAGCUAGUUGGUAGGGUAAAAGCCUACCAAGGCGACGAUCCAUAGCUGGUCAGAGAGGAUGAGCAGACACACUGGGACUGAGACGCGGCACAGACUCCUACGGGAGGCAGCAGUGGGGAAUAUUGGAAAAUGGGCGGAGGCCUGAUGGAGCAAUGCCGCGUGAGUGAUGAAGGCCUUAGGGUUGUAAAGCUCUUUUAGCCGGGAUGAUAAUGACGGUACCGGGAGAAUAAGCACCGGCUAACUACGUG